GUUUUUUUUUAUUGUCAAUAUUACUAUUAUUAUCAUUAUUAUCCUUGUUAUUACUAUCAUUAUUACCGGAACUAUUACCACCAUUAUAUGGUGAUCAUCGCCGCCACUAGACCAUAUCUGUCAUUACUUAACUACUAUCACCUUUACUAUUAUUAUCUCACUUUAUUAUCAUCGUUUAAUCAUCAUUGUCACUACAAUCACUACUAUUAUUAUUACUUGAUCGCUA
rnacentral:misc_RNA from 1 species